AUCCCCCACAAUUUUGAAAUGCUUGCUACACCCCAUGUGAAUAAUGGAGUUAGAGCAAACUGUCUACUCAGUGUGAUUGUUUCUGUCUCUCCCUGUUCUGGUCCACCACAGGUCUUGGUAAGACCAUUUUUAACACCAAAACCAGCUGCAGCCUUUCUGUGCAGGGUUAGGUUCUCCCACGGCAUGUGUGGAACUGUGUUUGAAUUCUUCGGUUUCCUCCCACAGACCAAAAACAUUCAACAGGGAUGAGGAAAUGCAGAAAUAAGAAGUAAACUGCAGGGAAGAGAGAACAGAAGGGAGCAGAGAGUUCAUGCUAAACCCUUGGUAAUAUUUUGUCAGCAGCAGAGCAGAGAGGGCAAAGCUUCAUGACUCUAGAUGUCCCAGAGGUGCUACAUGACAUAAAACUCAGGUGAGGAGCGGAGAAGUACCAGCUGUUCUGAGUUACUCAUUUGGAGCUCGGGUUUAAAAGGAGGAUGGAGACACUACUCGAAGCCGGAUGAUUACUCCAGUAUUGGAUUACCACCCCAACCUUCACCAAAUUCUGCUAGGAACCACGGAUCCUCAUUCACGUCUCAUCCUCCUCCACCGCUCCUGCAUUUCUCCUCUCUGCUUCCUCACCUCCCGUACGGCUGGUUUACUACACUCGUCUCCUUGGCACCCCGCAGCUCGCUGAGCUAAGAACUCUGAGCAAUCGCCCUCGGCAUCAUUCACUGGAUUUCAGUGCUACUUCAGUUCCCGUUUGUUUAAAUAAAGACUUUAAUUUCUUACCUCCUGACUCCUGAGCUGAUUCUGCAUGUCUUGGGUUAAACGCCUUCCACAAGCCAUGACAGAAAAUACCAAUUUCACAGCAGAAAUAAACAUGUUUUAGGUUUAAUAGAUCUAG